rnacentral:rRNA from 1 species
ACUCCUACGGGAGGCAGCAGUGGGAAUAUUGCACAAUGGGGAAAGCCAUCGAUGCAGCCAUGCCGCGCUGUGUGAAGAAGGCCAUUCGGGCUUGGUUAAAGACACUUUUCAGUAGGGGAGGAAGGUAGUGUAGUUAACACCUGCACUAUUUGACGUUACCUACAGAAGAAGCACCGGCUAACUCCGUGCCAGCAGCCGCGGUAAUACGGAGGGUGCGAGCGUUAAUCGGAAUUACUGGGCGUAAAGCGCAUGCAGGCGGCCUGUUAAGUCAGAUGUGAAAGCCCGGGGCUUAAGCCUCGGAAUUGCAUUUUGAAACUGGACAGACUAGAGUACUGUAGAGGGGGUGAGAAUUGAUC